rnacentral:rRNA from 1 species
UACGUAGGGGGCUAGCGUUGUCCGGAAUCAUUGGGCGUAAAGAGCUCGUAGGCGGUUUGUCACGUCGGAUGUGAAAACCCGAGGCUUAACCUCGGGCCUGCAUUCGAUACGGGCUGACUAGAGUUCGGUAGGGGAGACUGGAAUUCCUGGUGUAGCGGUGAAAUGCGCAGAUAUCAGGAGGAACACCAAUAGCGAAGGCAGCUCGCUGGGACGGUACUGACGCUGAGGCGCGAAAGCGUGGGGAGCGAACAGG